rnacentral:lncRNA from 1 species
CUCGAGACCCUACCGAAGAGACAAAUGGAGUCCAGUCGUGCAAGCCCAUAUAGGCCCACAUCGUAGUUAUUAAAGUGGAGGAGCGCCAGUGCUAACCCGCCGCCGCCGAAGAAAGUGUAUACCUUCCGCCUAGAUCACACUCCUAGGUGCUAGGGUUUUGCAGAGUCUGGUGAUGCGAAGACGAACCGGCGGCGUAUACGGGACCGGCGGCGUAUACGGGACCGGCGGCGGUACCUGUACUCCAAGAGCCUCGAGGCCUCCCAUUGGGUGCUGUUGGAGAAGGAGCGCCGUAUCCGGGCGGCGCUAGAGGAGGGAAAGCCCAUUCCUACCGAGCUCCGCAACGAGGAGCACGACCUGCGGAAGCAGAUCGACCUAGGAGCGUGGAGGUGCGUGUUGUUCCCGUACCCGCGCUCCAGACCAUGGCUUCAUUUUGCUCGAGCGAGCGGAAUGCAGUGUUCUCGCUCAUUUGUUUUGUUUGCAGGGGAUUUACAAUAUUUUGUGUCUGGUUAAGGACGUUGCUCGGUUGUUGUUUGGAUCUGUGAUUGGGUGCUACAGUUUCUAAGAGCAUACUGUCUCGAUUCGUGAGCCCAAGAUAGAGGGCCGUUUUGGUUUCUUUAGUAGAGAGACUGAAGUUUAGUUAGGAGACUAAAGUUUAGUCCCUAGGAACUAAAAAUAUUCAUAAUGCAUUAAACAAAUCAUAAGAGGAUAAAAAUACACCUUAACAUUCUUCUGUCGUUAGUCCAACUGAAAUAAAGGAAAGACAAAAAAUAAAAUUAAUAUGAUUUAGUCCCUUUUAGUCACUCCUUGAGGGACUAGAGACUAAAACAGUCGAAUCUCUGUUUUAGUCACACGGUUUGGUAAUUUAGAGACUAAAUGAGACUAAGGCGGUGUUUGAAUGCCCUAGAGCUAAUAGUUAAUGCCUAAAAUUAAUUGAAUACAUCCAAACACCCGAUCUAAUAGAUCAACUAUUAGCUAUUUUUAGUAAAUUAGUUAAUAGUUAGCUAUCUAUUUGUUAGCUAGGUAAUUUCACUAGCCAUUUUUUAGCUAGCUAACUAUUAACUUUAGUGCAUUCAAAUACGUCUACAUGUCUGGCAAUCCUGGCGUGGUCUUAACUUACCCUGUGUUGCAUUGCAUUCAACCAACCGCCCUAUGUGGUUCUCUUCAUAGGAGCUGAAGGUUACGUUUUCCAUGUCACAAAGAAUGAACCAUGGUCGCCAGGUAUAUUGCACCAGCAUUACCUGCAAGAAAUUAGAACUCAAUUGUCUGUGAUUUUUAUAGGUAGUAAGUGGGUGUUUGUUUGGGAUUAUAAUCUGUCCAGAUUACAUGUUCAAAAUUUGUUGGAGUAUAUAAUCUGGACAGAUUAUAGUCCCAAACAAACACCCUCUAAAUAACUAAACACAUGUGAACGCCGACACUGGGCAAAUUUGCUUAUUUAGGUCCUGACACUGGGUCUGCCUUUUUAAUUGUUGUUGUGGGAUGAAAACGGGAUGGACAUUUUCUAAUAUCUGUCCGCCUCGAAAGGGUCAAAACUCAAAACCCUACAUGGAUAGUUCAUAUUUGAACCUGAACAUUUAAUAUCCAUACUAUAUCUGAAUCCAAAUGCUGAAAAUCAGAUUUUUGAUAUGCAUAUGAGAUUGAUAUUAAUAGCUGGCAUGAUGGUCUGUGAUCUGAGGAAAAAUAUGGGAUAGAACACAUGAUCAUUAAUAUCCAUCUGUAUCCGAUUCUGUUUCAUUCCUACUCGCAUGGAAGCCAUGCCCGUUAGGAGGAUAAUAAAGAUGGAGUCAUUAGGAACUGGAGGUUGCUGUGAUGAUAGCUUUUUCAAGAACUUAUGCUAGCAUUUUCAUGAACUCACUCUUUCUUUCUUUCUCUCUCUCUCUCUGUGUGUAUAUAUAUAUAUCGAUCCAUUCCUCCUCCUCUCCUUCCCAUUAACAGCUUCUUGUUAAGCAUACAUUGCUAGUAUGAUGAUGAUAUUCAUUUGAAUAAUAAGCUGCUGAGCGCCUCCAAUUCCAUAAUCUGCUACUGUGUUCUUAUCAUUUGCUGCCUCUGUUGCUGUUUCCAAACAAGUUUUUUUGACUUUCUAUGAUGUACAUCGGUUAAUUUAGGGAUUGUUUGGAUGAGCUAGGACUAAGGGGGUGUUUGAAUGCACUAGAUAUAAUAGUUAGUGGCUAAAAUUAGCUAGAGACAUCCAAACACCCUAGCUAAUAGUUCAGCUAUUAGCUAUUUUAGUAAAUUAGCUACUAGUUAGCUAACUAUUUGUUUGCUAGCUAAUUCUACUAGUAUAUUUUUAGCUAACUAACUAUUAGCUUUAGUGCAUUCAAACACCCCCUAAUACAGCUGAGUUUGGCUAGCUAGUUGGCUAACAACUAGAUGGAAAUUUGGCUAAAAAAUUAGCCCAUCUAUUAGCCCUCUUGUUUGGAUGCCCUAGGGCUAAUUUUAGCUAUUUUUUAGCUAGCUACUGAUUAGCUCUUGUAUCCAAACUGGUCCUUAAUAAUAGUUUCAUUACAACUAUAUUGCUGGUCACAUCAAACAUCAUGUCAACUUUGUUUAAGUGCAACCAAGUGUUCACAUUACAGUUUGUAGUUUGCUUACUGCUUUUUGUGGCUGCCAUGAUGGACUUCUCGUUAAACUGAGACAUACUAUGAGGAUAGCAUCUAUCCAUUCAAAAACUAUAACUGAGCAGCAUUGUUAUUGUUUGAAUAUAUAACAAGUUCGAGGUGUUGCACUCUUUUGUUACCAUCAUUUAAUUUGCCUUUUGUGCCUUCCAUCCCAGCAUGUGCAUGUGUGUUUUACAUGUUUGGAGGUUUCAAUUAUGUCAUACUUGUUAACCUGAUACAUCUUUAUUCCCUGGAAGACACCUAGUCCAUUCAUAACUCAAGACUGAGAACCUCGACUCUCACUAGUUUGCUAUGUUUAUUUUUUCUCGUUCUAUGUUUUUUUGGUGUCUUGAUUGAGUUCUAUCAAUCUCUGUUCAAAGGUUGCAUGUGAAUGUGAAUUAUAGUAUUUCCACAAAAGUUAUGGCUUUCCGUAGCAAGGUAAACAAAUACAUACUUACGAUGAAAAUUCUGAAGUGUGGGCUGGUUAUGGUGGCGUGGUGGUGGCAAUGUUUACCAUGACAUUUUUUGUUCAUCUUGUUGCUUACUUGCAUGUACUGGGUCACUAGGUCACGGGUUUCAAGCAGUCUCUCCGCAUUUGUGGGGGAAGGCUUCCCUAUUCCUUCCCUAGAUCCCACUCGUAUGGGAGCCUUCCGGCACUAGGUUUGCCCUUUUUUGUUGUUGCUUACUCACAUGUAGGGAUGAAAUUUUUUAGACACCCGUCCUUCCCGAAAGGAUCAUAACCCUACAUGGAUGCAUUUGAAUCUGAACAUUUAAUAUAUGUAACAUAUUCGAAUCCAAAUGCUCAAAUUCAGAUUUCUGAUAUGCAUAUGAGAUUGAUAUCAAAAUCUGAUAUGAUGGUGCUGAUAUUCGAGGAAACAUAUUGGAUAGAACACAUUAGCAUUAAUAUCCAUCUGUAUCUGAUUCUGUUUCAUUCCUACUCGCAUGGAAGCCAUGCCUAUUAGGAGGAUAAUAAAGUUGGGGAGUCAUUAGGAACUGGAGGCUGCUGUGAUGAUAGCUUUUUCAAGAACUUAUGCUAGCAUUUUCAAGAACUCUCUCUCUCUCUCUCUCUCGCUCACUCACUCACUCUGAGUUUGUGUGUUUCCAUCCAUUCCUCCUCUUUUCCCCAUUAACAAGUUCUUGUUAAGCAUGCAUUGCUAGUAUGAUGAUGAUAUUCAUUUGAAUAAUAAGCUGCUGAGCGCCUCCAGUUCCAUAAUCUGCUGCUGCUACUGCGUUGUUCUCUCUUUUUUUGUAUCUGCUGCUGUUUCCAAGUAACGUUCUUUUGUGCUUGUCUAUGUUGUACACUGGUUAAUUUAGGGUCUGUUUGGCUGAGAUAGCCUAGGGAUAGUACUAGUUGGGCUAAAGUUUAGCCCAGUUUGGCUUGGUAGAUGGCUAAGUAGUUGGAAAUUUGGCUAAAAAAAUAGCUCAUCUAUUGGCCCCUCUUGUUUGGAUGCACCAGGGCCAAUUUUUAGCUAGCUUCUAAUCAGCUCUUGUAUCCAAACCAUUCCUUAAUAAUAGUUCCAUUUCAAAUAUUUUGCUGGUUACAUCAAUAUCAUGUUAACUUUGCCCAAGUGCAAGAAUGUGUUCACAUUACAGUUUGUAGUUUGCUUACUGCUUUUUGUGGCUGCCAUGAUGGACUUCUCGUUAACCUGAGACAUACUAUGAGGAUAGCAUCUAUCCAUUCAAAAACCAUAACUGAGCAGCAUUGUUUGUCUGAAGAUAUAACAAGUUGAGGGCGUUACAAUCUUUUGUGCCCUGCAUCCCAGUUUGUGCAUGCCUAUUUUACAAUUUUUUGGGUUGCAAUGAUGGCUUUCUCGUUAACCUGAUACAUCUUUAUUCCAUGAAAGACGCCUAAAUUCAAUCAUAACUCAAGGCUGAGAACCUCCAAUCUCACUAGUUUGCUAUGUUUUGCUUUUCUUGUUCUAUCUAUGUUUUCUGGCGUCUCCAAGUUUGCUAUGUUUCUCUUCUCUUGUUCUAUCUAUGUUUUUUGGUGUCUCCAUUUGGUUCUGUCAAUCUCUAUUCAAAUUAAACAGAGCUGCAUGUGAAUAUUAAUAUUUCCACCGAACUCCUAGGUUAUGAUGAUAUUUGUUUCAUUGACCUGUGACGUGCUUGCUAUUUGUUCUUGCUUCAGUGUUGGAUGUUGCAGCGAUGUCUUUCUCGCUAACCUGCAAGAUUCUUUUCAUCAAAGCACUUGAUCAAUUCAUGGCUCGGACUGAGAAUCGGCACUAUCAUUUGUAUUUGAUAUGUUUUGCAUUUACUUCUGUUUUCUUGUCUUCCUGCUAGUUUGACUUGGAUCAUGUACAAAAUAAACUAUUAUUUUGAGUAUAUAUAGUGUUUUUUUAGAGUUUUAGGGAAUUGACCCAAAUCUUAGCACAGCCUAGAACCGCGGGUAUUGGGGUCCGGGAAACGGUUUCCCAAUGGUUUUUUAAUCCCUUUCAAAAUUUGGAAAAAAUGAAAAAAACUAUAGAAACCAGGGAAAAUAUGAUAAAAAAUUACAUGCUUUCUUGAGUAAUUUGGUAAAUAUCAACUUUUGUUUUUUUAAAAAAAUGUUCAUUGUUCGGUAAAAAGACAACGAAUUUCAUAAAGAGCACACGGGAUCUCGGCCGACAAAUAUGAAUUUCGUUUUUCUAAAUUUGAAACAAUAAUUUUUAGCAAAAAAAACCGAGAAACGACAUUUCUUGGCCAGAAAAUUCAAAGAUUGUUUUUUAAAUUUUGAAAAUGAAAACUAGCUAGUGAACUGAAAAGCGAUGAAAAUCGUCUGGUUUCUCGUUUCUGGUGAUUAGCGAGAAAUUAGUAAAAAACAGGAUAGUCCAGUGAUUAGCGAGAAAUUAGUAAAAAACGGUUGAAAGUCGACUCAGAAUUCUUAAAUCGAAGGGUAGUUUUUUGUUUGUCGAUGGAUGACGAACUGUCAGUCUGACUGAAGUGAAGAUUUAUAGAUGGUGACUUGCUUUGAUUUAUGAUCGAGCUUCCCAAGUCUCUACAGAAGGUGCUUUUCCAGUCCUGGCUGCAAUCGGCAAAAACAAGUCAUGUGCAGACAGAGUUUUGCCUAGCCGAGGUGGGCUACUCGGCAACAACAGAUCCAUGUUCAACGCAAGGAUACCAGCAUUCUUAUUUGCAUUCGAGCAAUACUAUACUAACAAGCUGGCAAUGCCGUGGCCAAUCAUAUACUCCUACUACGCUACCAUCCAAGGCAGUUCAGGGUGGCAAUGCCUCUUCGUCUCCGAUGCUCUACUCGCAUAAGGCUCCUCCCUUUUAUUCUGGAGGCAAGAGGAUGCUUCAUUGGAGAUGGUAGUGCUCCAUUGUUUCUGGAUGGUAUUACCCGAUGCUUGUUGGCUACUUGAACCUCUGCUACAGAAACACGAUGCUUAUGUUUCCACAUAUUCCCCAAAAAUGUCGAGGCACCCGUCCACUGUGGCGGGGAUUGCUCGCCGGAGCACUCCUCGACCUGCCCAGAGCACCUCCCUGUCGUUGACCCAUCUUCGGUUUGUUUCUCAUGGCCGGAGCGUUGCCGUGAGGUUCACUAGGUCAACCCAACGGUACUGGCCCUCUCGAACAGUUCCAGACCCCCUAGAACUCGGGUCCGCCCCAUCUCCGGUGACUUCUCCGCCGUGGGGGUGAGCAGCGUCGCCCAAAGCUGACCGAGCCAUUAACCACCCCCGAGCACCUGAUCUCAACCGCACGUCCCUGAUCUAAUGGCCUAGAUCCUCGAUUAUCGAUUUGCGUCGUCUCAUUAAACUAGGACCCUCGAUUCCCCAUCCAACGGUCGGAGCCCACGCCUCUACGCACUUCUGCCCCUCGGUCCCACCCGUCAGUCGCCAACGCCCCGCGCGCGCAAACCCGCCUUGCUGAUCUAAUCUCGGUCGUGGAUCCGAGAUCCAACGGUCGAGGGAGCCCGAUACCUCUUUUGCUCACGUUUUUCACUAAAGAGCCCCUGAUUUCUGAGAAUAGAACCCACCGUCCUUGGUUCUUUUACCCGGGUCCCUGGAAUCUUGCAGUUACGCCCUCAGGUCUUUAUUUAAUCACAUAAAUGUGUUUAAAAUAGGGUUUUAAAUUCCAAAACUUCUAAAAUUCAUAACUUUGUCAUAUGAACUCCAAAUUAGGUGCUUUAAAUUGCAAAAUGCUCGCCAUGUUUUUGUCUACUUGUUAAAAUAAUGUUCACUUACUGUUUUUAGAUCCCAAUUUAUAAGUUAUCUCUAGUUUAGAGUUGAUGCUAUUGGAACCUUAAUAGAAAUAAAAUGUAGGUAGGAACCUCUAAUAAAUGUUCAAAUACUUAAGUUUAUAGACCUAACAUUACCUAAUGAGUAAUCUCACCCCUUAACUAACUAUAUUUGAACAAGUGUUAUAAUAAGAUAGACUUGGUGAGAGAAUAAUAAACCACUUGGCAUAGUGACCUACCCCAAACUUAGUAAACACCUUAUAGUCUUUACCUUUCUGUUGAACAUGUGUUUACCCUGUUGCAUAUAUUUGGUGUAUUGUUAUUCCCCAAGUGUGUUGAAUGAAUGAUUGAUUUGCGUAGACAACGAGCAUUCCGUGAUUCUCGAGGGAGUUACAGGAAAAGUCUAUGAGCAGCAACUUGGUGAAGGCAAGUGUCCUCUGAUCCAUUAUGUCCUACUUACUUUAUAAUUCAUUUUCCCGCAUACCAUGAUCGACCUAAUGAUUGACUAGUUUUAUGUUUAUUCUGUCCUUGAUUACCCUUUUGAGAUUUGGCUAUUAUGAUUAAUAUCAUGCUAGUGCCUUACCUUAACCAAUGAACAUGAUAAGAAUACUUUAUGAUACGAUGAUGUUAUUCUGGAUAUAAUGAUGAACUUGUGGCACUAAAGGGGACUCGGGCUAUUUCCUGAGUAUCUCUCCGUAAGGACAUGCUCAUUGGAUGACCAUCUGGGAAAGUAGAACAACCAUGAGGGUGGUUUGGUACACCCUUAGCUGAUUAGUUAGAGGAAAUUGAGGUAUAGUCGGUUUCGUCGUUGCGCCGUCAAUGGGGUCCGGGCACAAUACUUGCUCUGCUGAGGUUGGGUGCCGAGGUUCGUUUGUUUUGCUUUUGUUAGUCACCCCUCCUGCGGGGAGAGGUAAUGUGUUUAUCAAACUAGAGAAACCUAACGGACGACUAUGACCUCUAGGGAACCUUUGUAAAAGAUACGUAGUGAAACCUUGUUGACUCACCUUGGGAGUGUUUAGGGGUCUGUACAACCUGAGGAAAAAAUGGAUUACGGCUCGUGGGUAAAGCGUGCGACAUCUGCAGAGGGUUAGAAAUUAGUAUAUCAGUCGUGCUCACGGUUAUGAGCAACCUUGGGAGCUCCUUUGAUUAGAGAUAUUUAGAUACAUUUAUGAUGAUGGUUUAACAAUGAUGAUUAUAAUUAUGGAUCCUUUUGACCUUGAGUGUGUCUUGGCAGAAGUUAGAGAUAUGGCCUUCCCCGACCGCUGGCAUCACUGUUGAAUUAAUUUGCUUGGAGUGUUAUUACAGGAACUUAGGAUUUUAGUCACGACCUUCUUAUCUAUGAUGUACUCUGGUAGCAAAUUCUAUCUUUCACCGUUGAGUGAACAGUCACUUUAUUCGGGAGCGGGAGCGUGUUACAAUUCAUCAACUUGACGUUUAAAUUAUAGACAUGUUUGGUUCACUGUCUAACUUAUCACACUUUGCCUAACUUUUCUGUCUAAGAUUAGUUCUUCAAUUCAAACGACUAACCUUAGGCAAAGUGUGACAUAGUUAGCCACAAACCAAACAGGCCAUAUCUUCCAAAGCAAAGAAGCCAUUGGUCGGAGCUACUUAUGCUUAUCUUCGUGGUAAUCUGAAUUUAAUUUUAUAUUGUUCAAAUUGAGAAGGAUGCUAAAUAUAGUAUGGUACAUCUAAAAAUGUAGGAGAUAUUCUUGGCUUUGGAGCUGCGUGUCCUCACCGUAUUCCCAAGAGCUGCACUAGAGGUGGUAAUGGAUCACCGUCUAGGGGUGUUUGGUUUGAAAAAUCAAUCCAUUCUAGAUGAAAUGAUGCAUAAGUGAACUCAUUUCUCAUAUUAGUACUAUUUAUUAGGAUAUAGGGAAUGGAAUGAUGAUGGAUUGAUGGAUCAACCCAUUACAUUCCACAAACCAAACAAAAAAAAUGAGGAGUCUCAUUCCUCAAACCAAAUACCCCAUAAAUAUUUCUUUACAAUUUGUUAGGAUCCUAAAUUAAUUUUAGUUCAAAAAUAAAUAGAAAUAGAACCAAUUCCUAACUAAUAUGAUCCUUAAUUUUUAUAGUGUAAAAUUUAGAGCUCAUUAUCACCCCUAACUGUACCUUGUAAUUUACUCUGUUCUGCCUAUAUAUAUAUAUAUAUAGAGGAAGCCCUGGUCAUGUCUUCCGGUCUGGCUAACCCCGCACCACCUCAAUCCGUUGGAACCAAACUACCACCUUCCGAUUGACUCAAUCCACGAUUCAGACCGUGUCGCCAUCAAAUCCUAUCCUCACGUCACAUCCUCGCCCCCUCUGGACUCGCCCAGCCACCGCGCCCCGGCGAUGCGUCUGCGUCCUUGCCCAGCCGCCGGCCACUGGCGAUCCGUUCGCACCUCACCACCUCCAUCCUCGCCCAGAUCCGUCCGUGUCCUCGCCCCCUCUGAACUCGCCUAGCCGCCGGGCACCGGUGAUACGUCCGCGUCCUUGCCCCCUCCGGGCUUGCCCAGCCGCCGGGCACCGGCGAUUCGUUCGCACCCUCGCCCCUCCGGACUCGCCCAGCCGCCAACAACCAGCGAUCCAUCCACGCCCUCGCCCGCUCCGGACCACGCCCGCGCCGCCUCCGCGCCCUACAAACUUCCUGUCACGGGCCCGUACACCGUUUCUGUCUUCCUCGAGAAGGGCUUCCUCUCCAUCCUCGGGUUCAUCCUCGCCGGCGACAACCUCAUCGCCAAGUGCCCCUUCUGGUUUUGGUGCAUUCUUUACUCAUCUCGCCCUGCUCUUGUGAUUUUUAUUCCUAAAUACGUCUUUUAUGCUAAUUUGAAUGUGUUAUUAUGCUCAAUUACCAGAUCUCGUGUACGCUCCGCAUUAUAAACACGUAGACCACCAGUCCUAUAUCAUUUUUAUGUUCUUUUGGUAAAUACGUAGAUCCAAGUUAUAUUUCCCCUAAAUAAACUGGACAAACCUAGGAGCAACUACAUGAUUUAUAUAAAAAAGAUAUAGGCACCCCAAUUCUGUAUCGGCUAUAACUCUGAUUUGGGUAGUCUGUGUGUACAUCCACACUUUCAAUCAGCUCAGUUGUCGCGACCCUCUAUCAGUUAUGAUAAUGUGUUUUGAAGAUGCUUGAAUGGUUUCUUGGUUUUCUGGAAUCGGAAUAAUUGUUCAAACUUUUAUUAGCAUGGUGUCUAGCCAUCUUUCAAACUGAACCAAAUUUAAUUAUU